GACGAACGCUGGCGGCGUGCCUAAUACAUGCAAGUAGAACGCUGAAGGAGGAGCUUGCUUCUCUGGAUGAGUUGCGAACGGGUGAGUAACGCGUAGGUAACCUGCCUGGUAGCGGGGGAUAACUAUUGGAAACGAUAGCUAAUACCGCAUAAUAGUAGAUGUUGCAUGACAUUUGCUUAAAAGGUGCAAUUGCAUCACUACCAGAUGGACCUGCGUUGUAUUAGCUAGUUGGUGGGGUAACGGCUCACCAAGGCGACGAUACAUAGCCGACCUGAGAGGGUGAACGGCCACACUGGGACUGAGACACGGCCCAGACUCCUACGGGAGGCAGCAGUAGGUAAUCUUCGGCAAUGGACGGAAGUCUGACCGAGCAACGCCGCGUGAGUGAAGAAGGGUUUCGGAUCGUAAAGCUCUGUUGUAAGAGAAGAACGAGUGUGAGAGUGGAAAGUUCACACUGUGACGGUAUCUUACCAGAAAGGGACGGCUAACUACG
rnacentral:rRNA from 1 species